rnacentral:rRNA from 1 species
CACGUAGGGGGCGAGCGUUGUCCGGAUUUAUUGGGCGUAAAGAGCUCGUAGGCGGCUCGGUAAGUGAGGUGUGAAAACUCCAGGCUCAACCUGGAGACGACACCUCAUACUGCCGUGGCUAGAGUCCGGUAGGGGAGCAUGGAAUUCCUGGUGUAGCGGUGAAAUGCGCAGAUAUCAGGAGGAACACCAGUGGCGAAGGCGGUGCUCUGGGCCGGAACUGACGCUGAGGAGCGAAAGCGUGGGGAGCAAACAGG